rnacentral:rRNA from 1 species
UAGUCAUAUGCUUGUCUCAAAGAUUAAGCCAUGCAUGUGUAAGUUUAAGCCCUUGUACGGCGAAACUGCGAAUGGCUCAUUAAAACAGUUAUAGUUUAUUUGAUAAUCAACUUACUACAAGGAUAACUGUAGUAAUUCUAGAGCUAAUACUUGCGUCAACACCCGACUUCACGGAAGGGUCGUGUUUAUUAGAUACAAAACCAACCUGGAGUUCGCUCCAGAGCUAUUGGUGAUUCAUAAUAACCAAACGGAUCGGCGGUCCCGCCGAUGGAUCAUU